CAGUCGCCACGGUAACACGAAGGUCCCGAGCGUUGUUCGGAAUCACUGGGCGUAAAGGGAGCGUAGGCGGCGUGGUAAGUCAGAUGUGAAAUCCCGGGGCUCAACCCCGGAACUGCAUCCGAUACUGCCAUGCUAGAGGAUUGGAGAGGUAGCUGGAAUUCUUGGUGUAGCAGUGAAAUGCGUGGAGAUCAAGAGGAACACUCGUGGCGAAAGCGAGCUACUGGACAAUAACUGACGCUGAGGCUCGAAGGCCAGGGUAGCGAAAGGGAUUAGAUACCCCGGUAGUCCCUGUCUCUUAUAC
rnacentral:rRNA from 1 species